rnacentral:rRNA from 1 species
AGGUGAAAAGAACCCCGGGAGGGGAGUGAAAGAGAACCUGAAACCAUAUGCCUACAAGAAGUCAGAGCCCGUUAAAGGGUGAUGGCGUGCCUUUUGUAGAAUGAACCGGCGAGUUACUGUAUGGAGCGAGGUUAAGCAGGAUAUGCGGAGCCGAAGCGAAAGCGAGUCUUAAGAGGGCGAAAGUUGCAUGCAGUAGACCCGAAACCGGGUGAUCUAGCCAUGACCAGGUUGAAGUUGGGGUAAAACCCGAUGGAGGACCGAACCGACCCCCGUUGAAACGUUGGCGGAUGAGUUGUGGCUAGGGGUGAAAUUCCAAUCGAACCCGGAGAUAGCUGGUUCUCCCCGAAAUAGCUUUAGGGCUAGCGUCGAGGUAAGAGUUGCGUGAAGGUAGAGCACUGAAUAUGUGAUGGCCCCAUCUCGGGGUACUGAGCAUAAUCAAACUGCGAAUGUCACGGAAACAUACUCGGCAGUCAGACAGCGGGUGAUAAGGUCCGUUGUCAAGAGGGAAACAGCCCAGACCAUCAGCUAAGGUCCCAAAAUGUAUGCUAAGUGGAAAAGGAUGUGGAGAUGUACAGACAACUAGGAGGUUGGCUCAGAAGCAGCCAUCCUUUAAAGAGUGCGUAACAGCUCACUAGUCGAAUGACUCUGCGCCGAUAAUUUACCGGGGCUAAGCAUACUACCGAAGCUAUGGAUCCUACGGGAUGGUAGGGGAGCGUUCCAUGAACGGAGAAGUACGACCGGAAGGACGUGUGGAGAUCAUGGAAGAGAGAAUGCCGGUGUGAGUAGCGGAACGUGGGUGAGAAUCCCACGCACCGAAAACCCAAGGAUUCCAGAGGAAGGUUCGUCCGCUCUGGGUAAGUCGGGACCUAAGGCGAGGCCGAAAGGCGUAGUCGAUGGACAACAGGUAGAGAUUCCUGUACUUGUAUAUAUGUGAAGGAAUGACGGAGAGAGAAAGCUGAAGCCAGCGGCUGGAAGAGCUGGUGCAAGCGAGAUAGCGGGAUGGCAGGCAAAUCCGCCAUCCACAACGCGAAGACGUGAUGCGAACGGAAAGCUACGGCGAGUACGGAAGUCAGUGGACGAGCUUCCAAGAAAAGUUUCUAACAUAAGUAUAUGCAACCCGUACCGAAAAUGGACACACAUGGGUGAGGAGAGAAUCCUAAGGUGAGCGAGAGAACUAUAGCUAAGGAACUCUGCAAAAUGACUCCGUAACUUAGGGAGAAGGAGUGCUCAUAGAGAUAUGAGCCGCAGUGAAACGGCCCAAGCGACUGUUUACCAAAAACACAGCUCUCUGCUAAGCCGCAAGGCGAAGUAUAGGGGGUGACGCCUGCCCGGUGCUGGAAGGUUAAGGGGAGGGGUUAACGCAAGUGAAGCCCUGAACUGAAGCCCCAGUAAACGGCGGCCGUAACUAUAACGGUCCUAAGGUAGCGAAAUUCCUUGUCAGGUAAGUUCUGACCCGCACGAAAGGCGUAACGAUUUGGGCGCUGUCUCAGCUGUAGACUCGGUGAAGUCUUAGUACCUGUGAAGAUGCAGGUUACCCGCGACUAGACGGAAAGACCCCAUGGAGCUUCACUGCAGGUUGAUAUUGGGAUUUGAUGCAGCAUGUACAGGAUAGGUAGGAGGCUAGGAGAUGGAUACGCCAGUAUUCAAGGAGCCGCUGUUGGGAUACUACCCCUGUUGUAUUGGAUUUCUAACCGGACGACGUAAGCCGUUGACGGGACAGUGUCAGUCGGGCAGUUUGACUGGGGCGGUCGCCUCCCAAAGAGUAACGGAGGCGCCCAAAGAUACCCUCAGCUUGGAUGGAAACCAAGCGCAGAGUGCAAAGGCAAAAGGGUGUUUGACUGCGAGACCCACAAGUCGAGCAGGGACGAAAGUCGGGCUUAGUGAUCCGGCGGUGCUGAAUGGAAAGGCCGUCGCUCAACGGAUAAAAGCUACCCUGGGGAUAACAGGCU